CCCUAUGGGGUGCAGCCGGCCGGUGAUCUAUUUGCAGACCAUGAUGUCGACAUUAAACGCGAUCUUUCUGUUGGUGGAGAUGUAACGAUUCACGGAAAUCUUUCUGUCGCAGGUACGAUUAAAAAUAUUAAUUUGACCGGAACGACAGCAGAUAAAUUCACAAUUGAUACAAACGAUCUAAGCGAUACUCCAACGCUUGCUUUUAAAGAUUUUGACGGUGAUGAAUAUUUGCGAUGGAACGACCUUAUCAGCGCUUUUGAAUUAUCGGAUGAUUUAUCGUUAAGUGGUGGCCUUACGAUGUUUCAAGAGUUGAUUGUUAAUGGCAACGGUCUUUCGCGUUUCCGCAAUGGCCGGGUGUAUAUCGGCGAUGAUACGCCCUCAAAUAUUGCACAGCAGGCAGGCGAUCUGUAUGUAAAGAGUGACGUUGAGAUUGGCGGGAGGGC
rnacentral:rRNA from 1 species